rnacentral:rRNA from 1 species
GACGAACGCUGGCGGCGUGCCUAAUACAUGCAAGUCGAACGCUGAUUUUCUAACUAAUGCUUGCAUUGACUUGAAAAUCGGAGUGGCGAACGGGUGAGUAACACGUGGGUAACCUGCCCAUCAGAAGGGGAUAACACUUGGAAACAGGUGCUAAUACCGUAUAACACUAUUUUCCGCAUGGAAGAAAGUUGAAAGGCGCUUUUGCGUCACUGAUGGAUGGACCCGCGGUGCAUUAGCUAGUUGGUGAGGUAACGGCUCACCAAGGCAACGAUGCAUAGCCGACCUGAGAGGGUGAUCGGCCACACUGGGACUGAGACACGGCCCAGACUCCUACGGGAGGCAGCAGUAGGGAAUCUUCGGCAAUGGACGAAAGUCUGACCGAGCAACGCCGCGUGAGUGAAGAAGGUUUUCGGAUCGUAAAACUCUGUUGUUAGAGAAGAACAAGGAUGAGAGUAAAACGUUCAUCCCUUGACGGUAUCUAACCAGAAAGCCACGGCUAACUACGUGCCAGCAGCCGCCGUAAGAC